AACGAACGCUGGCGGCAGGCCUAACACAUGCAAGUCGAGCGCGCCCUUCGGGGUGAGCGGCGGACGGGUGAGUAACGCGUGGGAACGUGCCCUUCUCUGCGGAAUAGCCUCGGGAAACUGAGAGUAAUACCGCAUACGCCCUUUGGGGGAAAGAUUUAUCGGAGAAGGAUCGGCCCGCGUUGGAUUAGGUAGUUGGUGGGGUAAUGGGCCACCAAGCCGACGAUCCAUAGCUGGUUUGAGAGGAUGAUCAGCCACACUGGGACUGAGACACGGCCCAGACUCCUACGGGAGGCAGCAGUGGGGAAUCUUAGACAAUGGGGGCAACCCUGAUCUAGCCAUGCCGCGUGAGUGAUGAAGGCCUUAGGGUUGUAAAGCUCUUUCAGCUGGGAAGAUAAUGACGGUACCAGCAGAAGAAGCCCCGGCUAACACCGUG
rnacentral:rRNA from 1 species